GUCGUCGACAUAGUGUUUUCUGUUACUUUUAAAUUAGGAAAGAUGCGUAGGUUUUGCCGUAGCUUGAUUUAAGUGUAUUUACAUUAUUUAAGUUUUUCAUUUAACAAUAAUGUAAAAGUGUGUGAUAGUAAGGUAGAAGUAUUUUAUCUGAAAAAGUGACAUAAGUGAAGAUCCUAGUCCACUAGCAAUAGGCAUUGAGCCUUUCCAGCGUGAACCUGUACUUCCAGCAAGUGUUGGGAAAGUAGACAGGCCUAGUUUGCCUUCCAUGGAAAACAAGUGAAGCUGAGAAAAUCAGAAAUACAAUUUGACAGUAUCGCUACACAGCUGAUCAGAACCUUGUUCGAUAGGUACGGGAAUGACUGGAAAAGGAAAACAGAAAGGUUCAACAGUACUGAUCAAAAGUAUAAGUGAACAACAUUAUAGUGACAGUUCAACAACAGCAAGAAUAUUUCUUCAUUCAGUUUUGAAUGGUCUUGUUUCAUACAAAAUGUGAUUCAUGCAAGAGUUAUGUUGUUUUAAAUUAAGUACAUUCAACAUUACUAGAAAUACACAUUUAAGUAUUGGAUUGUUUUUAUUGUUUUGAAUAAACAACGCUUGUACCAGA